rnacentral:rRNA from 6 species
GACUCUCGGCAACGGAUAUCUCGGCUCUUGCAUCGAUGAAGAACGUAGCGAAAUGCGAUACUUGGUGUGAAUUGCAGAAUCCCGUGAACCAUCGAGUCUUUGAACGCAAGUUGCGCCCGAAGCCUUUAGGCCGAGGGCACGCCUGCCUGGGUGUCGCA